GCGCACUGCCCGGCAGGCUGGUAAAGUGAAUGGUGAGGACAGAAGAGUUUGAUGACACAGACCGCUGAAUUUCUUUGUUUGGAGUACAAGUUAUGAACCCUUUAUGGAGCAUGUCUACAACCGCUGUACGCAAACGAUCUGAUGGUGAAGAGAAGACAUUGACAGGGGACGUGAAAACCAGUCCUCCACAAACUGCGCCAAAGAAACAGCUGCCUUCUAUUCCCAAAAAUGCUUUGCCCAUAACUAAGCCUAUGUCUCCUGCCCCAGCAGCAUAGUCAACAAAUGGCACGCAUGCUUCAUACGGACCCUUCUACCUGGAAUACUCUCUUCUUGCAGAAUUUACCUUGGUUGUGAAGCAGAAAUUACCAGGCGUCUAUGUGCAGCCCUCUUACCGCUCUGCAUUAAUGUGGUUUGGAGUGAUAUUUAUACGGCAUGGACUUUAUCAAGAUGGUGUGUUUAAGUUUACAGUUUACAUCCCUGAUAACUACCCAGACGGCGACUGUCCACGCUUGGUGUUUGAUAUUCCCGUCUUUCACCCGGUAGUUGAUCCCACGUCAGGUGAACUGGAUGUGAAGAGAGCAUUUCCAAAGUGGAGGCGGAACCAUAAUCAUAUUUGGCAAGUAUUAAUGUAUGCAAGGAGAGUUUUCUACAAGAUUGAUACAGCAAGCCCCCUAAACCCAGAGGCUGCAGUACUGUAUGAAAAAGACAUUCAGCUUUUUAAAAGCAAAGUGGUUGACAGUGUUAAGGCAUGCACUGCUCGUUUGUUUGACCAACCUAAAAUAGAAGACCCCUAUGCAAAUAGCUUUUCUCCAUGGAAUCCUUCUGUACAUGACGAAGCCAGAGAGAAGAUGCUGACUCAGAAAAAGCCUGAAGAACGGCACAAUAAAAGUGUUCAUGUUGCUGGCCUGUCAUGGGUAAAGCCUGGCUCAGUACAACCUUUCAGUAAAGAAGAGAAAACAGUAGCAAAUUAAGAGAUGGUGAAUCUGGUGCACCGUGCACUUUCCUGCUGGACUCUGGCCUAGUUAAAGUUGACCAAUGGCAAAGGACUGCCGGAAGAGUAAAACUGUGUGAAUAAUGACUGAUGAUCAGUGUUUUCCAUGUAUGCAUAGGUUCUAACAGCAGGUUUUGGAAACCUCUUUCUAAGUAAUACAUUACUUCUGUCAGAAGUGUCUUAGGGUGGUUAUCUAGUUCAGUACUCCAAAUUAUUGGGGACCUUGAGGCUUAAGUAUUUUUCUGAAUAUAAUGCUAAAGGUAAGUGGCAGUCAUUUAAACUAAUAGAGCAGACAGACUUCAACACUAUUUAAUAGUUUUUAAA